rnacentral:rRNA from 1 species
UCGAGCGGUAGAGAGAAGCUUGCUUCUCUUGAGAGCGGCGGACGGGUGAGUAAUGCCUAGGAAUCUGCCUAGUGGUGGGGGAUAACGUUCGGAAACGGACGCUAAUACCGCAUACGUCCUACGGGAGAAAGCGGGGGAUCUUCGGACCUCGCGCCAUUAGAUGAGCCUAGGUCGGAUUAGCUAGUUGGUGAGGUAAUGGCUCACCAAGGCGACGAUCCGUAACUGGUCUGAGAGGAUGAUCAGUCACACUGGAACUGAGACACGGUCCAGACUCCUACGGGAGGCAGCAGUGGGGAAUAUUGGACAAUGGGCGAAAGCCUGAUCCAGCCAUGCCGCGUGUGUGAAGAAGGUCUUCGGAUUGUAAAGCACUUUAAGUUGGGAGGAAGGGCAGUAACCUAAUACGUUAUUGUUUUGACGUUACCGACAGAAUAAGUACCGGCUAACUUCGUGCCAGCAGCCGCGGUAAUACGAAGGGUGCAAGCGUUAAUCGGAAUUACUGGGCGUAAAGCGCGCGUAGGUGGUUCAGUAAGUUGGAAGUGAAAUCCCCGGGCUCAACCUGGGAACUGCUUUCAAAACUGCUGAGCUAGAGUACGGUAGAGGGUGGUGGAAUUUCCUGUGUAGCGGUGAAAUGCGUAGAUAUAGGAAGGAACACCAGUGGCGAAGGCGACCACCUGGACUGAUACUGACACUGAGGUGCGAAAGCGUGGGGAUCAAACAGGAUUAGAUACCCUGGUAGUCCACGCCGUAA